UGAAGCCAUGCCUUGACCACUUGGGUAUCAUCUGGGAGGAAGAAUUCAAGCAAGUCUCUUUAGUGGGUAGCUCCCUUCAGUGAGAGGAACCCCAAUGGGAAACUGAGGCCCAGGGCAGUGCAGUAACAAGAGAUGAUAUUGGAAAUCCAGCUCUGCCUCAAACUAUCCAGGAAACAGUUAAAGAAUUAGUAUUCUGUGGUGACCUCCCACUUCCUUUUCACAACCUCCCACCCCAGGAGCCUGGACAUCAAAUCUCUUCUGAGUAAAGGGCACUUUUUUCUGAGCCUCUGCUUGGCCUCUUUGAUCUUGGGGGGAACUUCUGCCUGUGCCAUUGUAGAUCCUUGCACUGCAGGGCUCACCUGGCCUCUGCUCAAGCAGAACGCAGCACUCCUGCUCUCCAUUCCUCAUAACUAGCACAGCACUUUGGCAUGAUGACCCUGGAUGCACCUGUGGAUGCUGACGAGAAGGCUGUGCUCCGCCAGUCCUGCCCACAGCCCUAGCCUCAGGAGAACUACAAGUAGACUGUAAUUGUGAACAGGUUAUGUGCAAUUUAUAACCUGUAACAAAGAAUCUUUAUUUACAACAAAUCUCAUCUUUAGGACAAAGACGAAAAAUAGAGCUG